rnacentral:misc_RNA from 1 species
UCGGUACUGCAAGGUGUACACGCGGUGAGUUAUACUACUAAAGGCUGGUUGUUAGACAGACAUUCCCGUUAUUUUCAAUUCAAGAAUAAGUAUUUACGAGGAAAGAAUACUAUCCUACCUUCGGAUACAAAUAUUGUUUGAACAUUAAUUGCUGUGUCAAAAAUGGGCCUAGGACAACAAGAACCUGCUACUCCUACAAUUGAAAUUAUUCAAGACCUUGAAAACCAAUCCAAGUCCUCUUCACCAAUAUCUGUACCAUCAACACCUCUGAGUCUAAUCGAAAAAAUCAAAAACAAAAUUGCCAUGGAUGAAAAAUUUUUCUCCUUGGAGUUUUUCCCUCCGAGAACUCCAAAUGGUGCCGUGAAUUUGUUGGGGAAAUUUGAUCGUGCUGCGAGAGGAUGUCCAAUGUUUUGUGAUAUAACGUGGCAUCCUGCUGGGGACCCAAGUGGGGACAAGGAAACAAGUUCUAUGACAGUUGCGAGUGCUGCUUUGAAUUAUUGUGGGCUGGAAACUAUGUUACACAUGACGUGUGCUAAUACAACAAAAGAUGAUGUGACUAAGCAUUUACAAAAGGCCAAAGGACUAGGAAUAAGGAACAUUUUGGCUCUUAGAGGCGAUCCACCAGAUGGUGAUGAAUGGAAAGCCCUUGACGAUGGGCUAGCAUACGGUACAGAUAUGGUCCGACACAUCAGGAAAGAGUUUGGAGAUAACUUUACUAUUUGCGUAGCAGGAUACCCAGCUGGACAUCCUGACUGUAACAACUAUCAAGAAGAUAUUCAACAUCUAAAGGAGAAAGUAGAUGCUGGAGCUGAUUUUAUCAUCACUCAAUUGUUUUUCGAAAACAAAACUUUUUUUAAGUUUGUGAAAGAUUGCCGUGAAGUUGGUAUUACUGUGCCAAUUAUACCUGGAAUUCUUCCAAUCCAGGGGUAUGCAUCUCUUCGGCACUUGGUUAAACUUUCAAGAUUAGAAAUACCUCAGUCAAUCAUUGACGCUCUUCAGCCAAUAAAAGAUGAUGAUGAAGCCAUCAGAAAACUAGGCAUUCAAAUGGCUCUUGACAUGUGCAGGGAGCUUCUGGAUAGUGGUAUUGUACCUGGAUUGCAUUUUUACACACUAAACCGUGAAAUUGCAACAAGAGAGAUUCUGUGUGCGUUGGGCUUAUGGUGCAGCGAUCCUGCAGCUAGCCGUCCAUUACCAUGGAGAGCAUCAGCCAAUCAGAAGAGAUUCACUGAAGAUGUGCGACCUAUAUUUUGGGCAUCAAGACCAAAGAGCUAUCUUUACCGCACUUCUGAAUGGGAUGAGUUCCCUAAUGGCCGUUGGGGCAACUCUUCUGCCCCAUCAUUCCGAGAUUUAUCGGACCAUCAUUUUUUUUAUUUAAGAAGCCGAGCAAAAAUAGAUGAAAGAUUAAAAAUGUGGGGAACAAAGUUGGAAAGAGUGGAAGAUGUGUAUGAAGCAUUUAGUUGCUAUAUCUCUGGGAAAGAAAACAGAGAGGGAGUCAAGGUCAAAUCUCUGCCGUGGAAUGAUGAUGAGCUGGCUUCAGAGACUGACAUCAUCAAAGCCAAACUUGAAUAUUUGAACUCUGAAGGCAUUUUAACAAUAAACAGUCAGCCAGCUGUGAAUGCAAAACCAUCCACAGACCGUUUGGUGGGCUGGGGAGGUGAAGGAGGUUACGUCUAUCAAAAGGCAUACUUGGAAUUUUUUACAAGUCCAGAGACUGUCUCCAUACUUUUAGAGGUCCUGAAGGAUUAUCCCUUGGUGAACUAUCAUGUGGUGAAUGCUGAGGGCACAGUUGACAUCACAAACUGCCACCAGGAUACACCAGUUGCUGUGACAUGGGGUGUGUUUCCUGGUAAAGAAAUCAUGCAGCCAACAGUGGUUGAUCCAAUAAGCUUCAAGAUCUGGAAGGCGGUAGGUUCGCCCACUGUGUAUCGAGGUCCAGGGUAGACAUGUGAGCUGAUCGCAGACCGAGGCAGUCUGGUCCAACCUCUUCCAGCCUUUCCUUUGCAGACCAGUACCAAUACCACCAGCCCUCAUGAUAGAUGAAGCGUUCUCCUUGUGGGAGCAGCAAUGGGGUCGCUUGUACCCUGAGGAAUCUCGCUCCAGGAAGGUCAUCAAUGAAAUCAUUAACACCUUCUACCUAGUUAACUUGGUGGACAAUGACUUUGUAAAAGGAAC